rnacentral:lncRNA from 1 species
CAUUCUAAUGAAUCACUCUUCCUUUAGUAUUUACUAAAGAAUUAUUCUAUACUAGCAUUUAUGACUCACUGGAAUCAUUCUUGUCUCCUUUAGGCCUUCGUUCAGUGACACAGACACAUGGGCGCGCUCUGGGCGGCGGCGGCGGUCUCGUGGGGACGUAGACCUUUAGCCAGAGGACUGCGAGGUCAAGUACCGGGAUCAGCAGGAUUAAACCGGGCCGGGACAGAUGUCCAGCAGUGUUUGCCUCACUUCCCUUCUCAGUGUGGUGCCCUUGAAGGAUGCAGCUCCCCUCGACCUGCUCGCAGCAACCAGAAGAAGUCCACUGAAGUCGAAGGUUAUCAAUCCUUCCAUCUCCUCAAGCAACCAGGCCUUUCAAGUUAGCCCAGACCUGGAGAAAGCGAAGGACUUUGGCAAAAGGUAUGACUUCCAGUUCCCUUAAGGUUUGUCAAGAGAUGUCAUGAAAGUUUUGUGUCCAUUGUUUUGUGUAUCGUGAGGUAUGGACUUAUUACAUGCAA